rnacentral:lncRNA from 1 species
GUUAUCAAUAAGGACGAUAAUAUUUAUCAAGUGUAGAUCGUUGUGUGCCAUAUGGAUUAGUUAUCUUCUUAACCAAAAAGUGUAGAGACACUGAUAUGGCAAACACAUGAGAUGUAGGAGUACAUCAUCACCCAACAGUGAUCAAAUUAUGGAGCACUCGACUGUCAAGAGCAGCUUGCGAAAGAUAUGGGCAUAAGUGUCCUUCCAACCUG